rnacentral:rRNA from 1 species
GGUCAAGCGGGAAGAGGCACGCGGUGGAUGCCUUGGCAUCAAGGGCCGAUGAAGGGCGUGGCAAGACUGCGAAAAGCCUCGGUGAGCUGUCUAGCAAGCAUAGCCGGGGAUUCCCGAAUGGGGCAACCUGCUCAAGUGAACCUUGAGCACCCCCAGCUGAACACAUAGGCUGGGUGGAGGUAAGCGGGGGAAGUGAAACAUCUCAG